rnacentral:lncRNA from 10 species
GGCUCACCAAGGGCUGCCAGUUCGCAGAAGUCCCUCACCUUUGUUCCACACCUGCUGACUUUCUAAACUGCUGUCCUCUGGACUGUGCUAGGUACACAUGACAGCACCUUGGCAGCCAUGUCUUUCAGAGCCCCGUUAUGCAAUGCCAUGGCCCUAGAAGCAGAAGGAACCAUCAAAGAACCAGGCUAAAGGACUUUGGGACCAACAGGCAUUCAGGAAUGCACCUGGCCAGGAGCUAAGGGGCCACCAGCUGACAAGAGUUGCCACCAGACACGCCAGGUAGAAGAUGUCAGCUGGCAAUGGCCAUGCCAGCCUAAGCUACCUCUGUGGAGUGAACAAUGUAGCCCAGAAGAGCCAGCACAGAUCCCUCCCACCUAUCAGCCCUGUCUUCCCCCAUCUUGAUGCAUGUCCCAGCCAGGUUCCAUGGAGGAGCAGAACUUCAUCCUGCUCUGCAUUUAGGGCCUGCCUCGGAGACAGUAGGGGAGCUCCCAAGAACUCACAAGUUUGGAAAUUAAUAUUUCUCUUUGCAAGAUAAAAUACAGAUCAGCCCAAAGUACAUCAGACCUGAGGUCCAAUUCCAAACAGAAAGUCGGCCCUGAUAAUCCCUGGGUUAAAGGCCCAAGUGUUUGAAACUGAAUUGCACGCUCGACUAGGGAGCCCUUUCUAAGCUGGUACAACACACAGAGGCCAACAGUAAAGAAUAAUAAAUCUGGCUAUACAUUUUGUAUAGUGUGCACAUGUGCA